AGGGGUGUAGCUCAGCUGGUAGAGCAGCGGUCUCCAAAACCGCAGGUCGCACGUUCGAGUCGUGUCGCCCCUGCCA
rnacentral:tRNA from 1 species